CUACGGGUUGCAGCAGUGAGGAAUAUUGCACAAUGGGGGGAACCCUGAUGCAGCAACGCCGCGUGGAGGAUGACGCAUUUCGGUGUGUAAACUCCUUUCAUAUGUCAAGAGAAUGACGGUAGCAUAUGAAUAAGCACCGGCUAACUCCGUGCCAGCAGCCGCGGUAAUACGGAGGGUGCAAGCGUUACUCGGAAUCACUGGGCGUAAAGGACGCGUAGGCGGGUUGGAAAGUCAGGUGUGAAAUCCUACAGCUUAACUGUAGAACUGCACUUGAAACUUCUAAUCUAGAGUAUGGGAGGGGGAGAUGGAAUUAGCGGUGUAGGGGUAAAAUCCGUAGAUAUCACUAGGAAUACCUAAAGCGAAGGCGAUCUCCUGGAACAUUACUGACGCUAAGGUGUGAAAGCGUGGGGAGCAAACAGGAUUAGAUACCCCGGUAGUC
rnacentral:rRNA from 1 species